rnacentral:misc_RNA from 1 species
GAUGAAGAACGCAGCGAAAUGCGAAAAGUAAUGUGAAUUGCAGAAUUCAGUGAAUCAUCGAAUCUUUGAACGCACAUUGCGCCCGCCAGUAUUCUGGCGGGCAUGCCUGUCUGAGCGUCAUUUCAACCCUCAAGCAACUUCUGCUUGGUGUUGGGGAUCGGCCGUCAAACGCCGCCCCCGAAAUCUAUUGGCGAUCUCGCUGUAGCUUCCUAUGCGUAGUAGUAACAUCUCGCAUCUGGAGAGCGGCGCGGUCAUGCCGUAAAACACCCAACUUCUCAGGUUGACCUCAGAUCAGGUAGGAAUACCCGCUGAACUUAAGCAUAUCAAUAAGCGGAGGA